rnacentral:rRNA from 1 species
CCUACGGGAGGCAGCAGUGGGGAAUUUUCCGCAAUGGGCGAAAGCCUGACGGAGCAAUACCGCGUGAGGGACGAAGGCUUUUGGGUCGUAAACCUCUUUUCCCUGAGAAGAAGAUCUGACGGUAUCAGGGGAAUCAGCAUCGGCUAACUUCGUGCCAGCAGCCGCGGUAAUACGAAGGAUGCAAGCGUUAUCCGGAAUUAUUGGGCGUAAAGCGUCCGCAGGUGGCUUUGUAAGUCUGUCGUUAAAGAAUGGAGCUUAACUCCAUACAGGCGAUGGAAACUACAUGGCUAGAGUUUGGUAGGGGUCACGGGAAUUCCUAGUGUAGCGGUGAAAUGCGUAGAUAUUAGGAAGAACACCAGCGGCGAAAGCGCGUGACUGGGCCAAUACUGACACUCAUGGACGAAAGCUAGGGGAGCGAAAGGGAUUAGAUACCCUUGUAGUC